rnacentral:rRNA from 1 species
AGAAUUGACGGGGCCCGCACAAGCAGUGGAGUAUGUGGUUUAAUUCGAAGCAACGCGAAGAACCUUACCAGGGCUUGACAUCCCUUGAAGCAGCUAGAGAUAGCUGUGUCCUUCGGGACAAGGAGACAGGUGGUGCAUGGUUGUCGUCAGCUCGUGUCGUGAGAUGUUGGGUUAAGUCCCGCAACGAGCGCAACCCCUAUCUUUAGUUGCCAUCAUUGAGUUGGGCACUCUAAAGAGACUGCCGGUGUCAAACCGGAGGAAGGUGGGGAUGACGUCAAGUCCUCAUGGCCUUUAUGACCAGGGCUACACACGUACUACAAUGGCCGGUACAAAGGGCAGCGACACAGCGAUGUGAAGCGAAUCCCGAAAAGCCGGUCUCAGUCCGGAUUGGAGUCUGCAACUCGACUCCAUGAAGUUGGAAUCGCUAGUAAUCGCGGAUCAGCACGCCGCGGUGAAUACGUUCCCGGGCCUU